rnacentral:misc_RNA from 1 species
AAGAAUGACUCAAAAAACUCCGAACAAGUUAGCAUCAAUAUACAGUGCUCUAAAAUGUUCACGAGGAAGAAUGUCCACUUAUUUCCCUGCAUCCGCCAAACUCCUACUCUACACAGUAGUAUGCCUUUGGGGCCGAAAAAACGCGAUUUACUGGCGCAAACACAAACGACAAUAUCACCUAUAAAGCCUGAAGACACAGAGCUGAGGAAAUCUAUUGUGCAGUCAUUCGGCGAGAUUAAACAAUGGAGUUCAGCCGCACCGAAAUUCUUAGCCGUUCCAGACAACCCGCCAAAGCCAUCUAAAUCCAACGGCAAACUCCACAAGGAAAUAAUAUCGUUUAACUUGGACGACUUUGAAGACUUUCUGUCCCAACUGAAUAUGAGCUCGGAUCAAGCAGAUCAAUCCAGUAAAUCUCAUGAACCACCUAGACAAUCGACCGCUUUUCCUAAGCAAUCACAAAAAUCCGCAUCUUCAACUAACGACGAAACCUUUAGUAAAACAGACAAAUAUCUAUUUGUUAAUAAAAACAGAAAACGCAAAAUGUACAGUGGUAGGUCACGAGACGAUGCGAACCAACAGUUAGUCGAUGUUUUACUUGUUAGUUUCGAUGAAUCGAAGCUAAAAUCUGAAAACUUUUCUGGCCGCUUUUUAGCUGAGGAAUCGAAAAGCAAGCAGUUAGUGGUGAACUUAACUAGGCAAUCUUUAGAUAAACUCAAAACCCAGUUCAACCAGAGCCUCCCAUUAUUAACACCGAUUGUCGGAAGAAAUGCCAAGGCGUGCAGGAAAUUUUCGUCUAAUUGUGACAAAACUAUCCCUCUAAUGAAAUCCAAAAGCUGUGAUUCACUACUUCUAACUGUGAAGAAAAUAGAUGAUAAACGAAAAAUAUCAACUGGGUUAAGCGCGAUUGAAGCUCCCAAGCGACUUGACCAUCAGCUGUGCGAAGCUAGCUUUCACAAUCCUCAUGCAAGCACUUAUGAAACCCAUUUAGACGACGUCGUAUUCAGCAGUAAAACAGCGCAAGAUUCACACAACUCAUCGGUUCAGUUGAUUGAAAACUCGCUGUCGGAAAAGCCCUAUGUGUCCCAAAUUUUAUUAGCUAGCGCUACUGAUGACGACCUAAACAGACUAUCAACGCCUCCAGCCAAAAGUCCAACUGCCCCUAGAAGCUUCGACUUGAAUAAUCUUAAAUCCAACCUACUAUAUGUAUUGAUUCCCAGGAUUUCUCCUCAACCGACUACUCCUCCUCCCGCUCCUCAAUAUUCUGCUCAGGAUCUAAGUGAUGUAAUUUUAAAGACACCAAAGCUGCCUUCAACUGGAUGUUCCAGUCGCACUGAGGCGAAUUCCCCAGAAAACUUAGGACAGAAUUCUUCGAUUGUUGCGGAAAAAACUGAAAGCGACGACUUUGAUGCUUCUGGUAUCAGCAGAUUCAGCCAGAAGCCCAUUAUACAGAGAGGAAAGGCUUGGAGAAGAAGCUUUAUGACUUACAAGCAGCUGUAGCCAAAGAAAACCUCCUCACAGGUACAACAAGGGUAAAAGAAGCUUCAUUUGAGAAACCAGACAUUGUUUCAGGAUCGAUCUUGCCCAAUAUUUGCGAGGAAAGCAGGCGGUUUUCCUGCAGAGUUAUUCUGACCGAUGAUUUUGGACGACGCAAGAGAAUAUCGUCACUGCAAACCUUCGCGCUUUUGGGUGAGCAGGUGGAAAAUGGAGCCCUACCAGCUAAAGAGAAUGGGGCACAAUCCACAGCUCGAAGUCUCGUGUUGAAAUACUGCAAUCAAAAAAAUCCGCUAGGGUUUUCGAAAAUUUAUCCAAAUUCGUAAGUGAGAAACAACAAGCUAAACAGUUGUCCA